rnacentral:rRNA from 1 species
UACGUAGGGGGCAAGCGUUGUCCGGAAUCAUUGGGCGUAAAGAGCGUGUAGGCGGCCAGAAAAGUCCGCUGUGAAAACUCGAGGCUCAAUUUCGAGCUGUCGGUGGAAACUUUCUGGCUAGAGUCCGGAAGAGGAGAAUGGAAUUCCUGGUGUAGCGGUGAAAUGCGCAGAUAUCAGGAAGAACACCCGUGGCGAAGGCGGUUCUCUGGGACGGUACUGACGCUGAGACGCGAAAGCGUGGGGAGCGAACAGG